UUUUAUCAAAAUUAGUCGGCCAAUCUUUAGGCGAUACAUAUAUAUUUUUUGUUGAUUUUUUACGGUCUAUUGUGCAGCAUCUAAUCUAAAUUAUUUUUAAAUUGAAAAAAUAUGAUUAUUUACAAGUGCAUAUAUUGCCACUAAUGUUAUAAAGUUCGAGUGUUGUGGGCACCACCACUCUGUGCAAAUUAUCUGAAUAAAUGAAAUGAAAAUGAGCAUUGAUUGUUGAAUUCUUGGACAACAUCAGAAACAUAUUUUUUUGUUAUUUUUAAUUUGUAUAAAAAAAA